AACGUAGGACGCGAGCGUUAUCCGGAGUUACUGGGCGUAAAGCGCGGGCAGGCGGUCUGACAAGUCUGAUGUGAAAUCUCCGGGCUUAACCGGGAGAGGCCAUUGGAAACUGACAGGCUGGAGGGCAGUAGAGGUAGGCGGAAUUCCGGGUGGAGUGGUGAAAUGCAUAGAGAUCCGGAGGAACACCAGAGGCGAAGGCGGCCUACUGGGCUGCACCUGACGCUGAGCCGCGAAAGCCAGGGGAGCGAACGGG
rnacentral:rRNA from 1 species